rnacentral:rRNA from 1 species
CAGUAGCCGCGGUAAUACAGAGGGUGCGAGCGUUAAUCGGAUUUACUGGGCGUAAAGCGUGCGUAGGCGGCUUCUUAAGUCGGAUGUGAAAUCCCUGAGCUUAACUUAGGAAUUGCACUCGAUACUGGGAAGCUAAAGUAUGGGAGAGGAUGGUAGAAUUUCAGGUGUAGCGGUGAAAUGCGUAGAGAUCUGGAGGAAUACCGAUGGCGAAGGCAGCCAUCUGGCCUAAUACUGACGCUGAGGUACGAAAGCAUGGGGAGCAAACAGGAUUAGAUACCCCAGUAGUCCCUGUCUCUUAUAC